rnacentral:misc_RNA from 1 species
CCAGUAAGGGGCCCUAACCGGUCCUCUCAACCGAUAGCACCCUUGUCUUUAGCACCUACUGUUGUUCCCUCGGCGGGGAUCAAGCCCGCCAGCGGGAAGAUCAACCGAAAACUCUUAAGCCCGUAGUAUUAAUGAAACCUCUGAUCGAAUACAAAUAGUCA